rnacentral:rRNA from 1 species
AAAGGAAUAGACGGGGACCCGCACAAGCAGUGGAGUAUGUGGUUUAAUUCGAGGCAACGCGAAGAACCUUACCAAGGCUUGACAUCCCGCGACAUCCAUGGAAACAUGGCUUUCCCUUCGGGGACGCGGAGACAGGUGGUGCAUGGUUGUCGUCAGCUCGUGUCGUGAGAUGUUGGGUUAAGUCCCGCAACGAGCGCAACCCCUAUUGCUAGUUGCCAUCAUUAAGUUGGGCACUCUAGCGAGACUGCCGGUGAUAAAUCGGAGGAAGGUGGGGAUGACGUCAAAUCAUCAUGCCCCUUAUGUCUUGGGCUACACACGUACUACAAUGGCCGUUACAGAAGGAAGCCAAGCCGCGAGGUGGAGCGAAUCCUAAAAAGGCGGCCUCAGUUCGAAUUGCAGGCUGAAACUCGCCUGCAUGAAGUAGGAAUUGCUAGUAAUUGCAGGUCAGCAUACUGCAGUGAAUACGUUCCCGGGUCUUGUACACACCGCCCGU